UGUCCAAUGCGGGAAUCGAACCCGGGUCGUAGUGGUCGAAAACCAAACGGUUUAACUAGCCUUCCACCGACCCCCUUGAAGGGCCAAUAUGAC
rnacentral:tRNA from 1 species